rnacentral:rRNA from 1 species
CACAGGAUUGCCUCAGUAACGGCGAGUGAAGCGGCAAAAGCUCAGAUUUGAAAUCUGGCGUCAUUUUGGCGUCCGAGUUGUAAUCUGUAGAGGAGUAUUCGAGUGUGGCGCUGGCUUAAGUUCCUUGGAACAGGACGUCAUAGAGGGUGAGAACCCCGUUAACGGCCUUUGUCUUAUGCUCAUGUGAAUCUUCUUCAACGAGUCGAGUUGUUUGGGAAUGCAGCUCUAAAUGGGUGGUAAAUUCCAUCUAAAGCUAAAUACUGGCAAGAGACCGAUAGCGCACAAGUAGAGUGAUCGAAAGAUGAAAAGAACUCUGAACAGAGAGUUAAAUAGUACGUGAAAUUGUUGAAAGGGAAGCACUUGCUACCAGACACGCCUGUAGUUGAUCAACCUCCAUUCUUGGUGGUGCACUCAGCUAUAGGUGGGUCAGCAUCAGUUAUGGCGGCGGGAUAAAGACUUGGGGAAUGUGGCUUCUUUCGGGAAGUGUUAUAGCCCUGGGUGUAAUACCGCCUGCUAUGACUGAGGCCCGCUC